AUGCUGAUCACCCCAUUUGAUUUCAUUGCCAUCGCUAUUACUGCUCAGGCUUAUAAUUGGACAAGACCCUGCCUCUCCCCAACUCCCUUGCAGAUCAAAGAAAUUCAUUUAGAACACGCUGAGAAGGUCCUCAUUUCUCUUCACCAGCACAAGUUUCUUAUGGACUACCCAUAAACGCAGAAGAUGAACUGUGACAGCUUCCCCACAAAAUAAACUGCUUUAAAAUGCUCA
rnacentral:lncRNA from 1 species